GGCUCAUAGCUCAGGGAUAGAGCACUUGGCUUCCGUGCACAAGGUUCUGGGUUCAAUUCCUGGCAUCACCA